GACGAACGCUGGCGGCGUGCUUAACACAUGCAAGUCGAGCGGUAAGGCCCUUUCGGGGGUACACGAGCGGCGAACGGGUGAGUAACACGUGGGUGACCUGCCCUCAGCUCUGGGAUAAGCCUGGAAACCGGGUCUAAUACCGGAUAUGACUCCAUGACGCAUGUUGUGGGGUGGAAAGCCUUGUGCGGCUGAGGAUGGGCCCGCGGCCUAUCAGCUUGUUGGUGGGGUGAUGGCCUACCAAGGCGACGACGGUAGCCGGCCUGAGAGGGCGACCGGCCACACUGGGACUGAGACACGGCCCAGACUCCUACGGGAGGCAGCAGUGGGGAAUCUUGCGCAAUGGGCGAAAGCCUGACGCAGCGACGCCGCGUGA
rnacentral:rRNA from 1 species